GGUGUCUCGCCCGCCAAACAUUCAUCUGUUUGUGCUGCUGAUAGCAUGGGUGACAACAAGAUAAUGCCUUGCUUUUACUUUCCUCUCACUUUCCCCCUCUUUCUCCCUUCUUUCCGUCUUUUGUUGAUCUCUUUUACUCUGUUUUGCCCUAUUCUGUGGGAUUUGGUUUUCUGUCUUUGAACUAAACUGUAUUCUGAGUUAGCAGAAUGAUAAACUGGUACAAUAGACUUUUCGUCUGGCAUAAAUUGUCCCCCGAUUUUCAUGGGAAGGAUGUGGGUGAGAAGUGUUAGGGUACAACGACAAAGGCCAUUUGAGGAUACAAAGUUUCUCUCAAGUUACCAUGGUUGUAAACAGCAAGGCCCUUUGUGAAAAUCUUAUUUUCUUGUAGAACAUGAUAAUAUGCAACAUUGGCUUAAGAUAUUUGAGUAGCAAACCUUUUUUUUGUUAGAGUUCGAAGUCCCUCUUUGUAUUUGCUAUCGCCAUCCUGAAUCGCAUGUGACGGAACAGUGAUUAUGGCCAUCGUUUAAGCUGAUUUGGCGUCCUGUGGUGCGAGACAUUGGGCUGAGAAACCCUGAUGGGACAGCUGGUUUUAGACUCACAGAUUGUGUCGUUCAGUGCCCAAUACAUUCUUCAAGAUCGCAAACUGGCAGAUUAGCUUAGCCCGCUAGGAAUGACAAGGGGGAAGCAAGCAGUAGGGUAACGAUGAUGUAAAAAGAAUCGUUGUCGUGUUCCAGUCGGAGGCAGGAAAGCAACCUCCCCGCAACCCCACCCUCACACAAACACACCCCUGUUGGGAUUUUGGCAAGUUGUCAUGACGACAGGGAUGUUCUCCUGAUGAAGUCUCGCUCAGCGCUGUCCAAUCAGAUCGUGGAGCUACAACCGCAGCGUGAACAGGGGAGGACGCACCUAUUCCAGUUGCACAAUGCUGAGAAAGGACAGGCGAAAAACUGGACCACCAACGGGAAAUCGGCAAUCCGGGGGAGGCUGUCAAUGGGCUGCCAUGGUUCGACAAUACACAAACAGCGGGGGUCGUGGAUACAGGGGCUGCCAGGGCUCAAAGCGAGGCGUCCGCAGCCAGCCAUGGGAAAGAGCUGUCGACAAGGUGGCUCAGCUGGCAGUGCCCAGGGCUCCCAUGGGCCGAGAGCUGCCUGACGAUGAGAGUCAAGGACGCUGAAGGAUGACAAGGGACAGCUGGCGAAGCGGAGGACUCUUCACUCUCUGAGCAGACACUAAGGACCGCAGUCAACAGUGAAAGAUUGGUCGAUAAGGAGUAAGGUUCAGUGCCCUUUCCUUUUCCAUUUGUACAAUCACAAAGCCCCCAUAGGACUCAUUGCAAGUUUGUGCUUGUGUUUUUUUUGUAUGUAUGAAGCUUACUGCCAGUGCCUAUAAUAAGCAUGUAGCUCUUCAUUUGAUCAUUGCAUUUCUUUCACUCUCAAAUGCUCAUGUUUUUCUGUAAAUAUCCAUGUUUUCAUUAAUUCAUUUAUAGUGAUUUGUAAUAUUGAGUCCACAUUACUCCUCUUUGCAUGAACGUUUUGCUUUCAAUUAGUGAGACCGGUCUAGUCAACGACGCCUCCCCUGUCUUAACCUCAUGCCAGUGGUUGCUGACAGACCUCUGGCCUGUCAGGGUUACGUCAACGAUCCUCAGAAAGAGUUUCCACCGCUACUCACAGCUGUGUAGGAGGUCAUCACUUUUACAUGUCGAUCCCCGCAAAUUAGGUUUUGAGGAUUUGGCAAGGGCCGGUGCAUGCAUAGAUGGAUGGAUAGAUGGAGUUUGUAGAGGGUGAGGUACUGUGAGAGAGCUGUGGUUUGGCCCGACGUGUCGCUGUUUCCGUAGCUGCUGUCACUCCUCAGAUUACCCGACCAAAAGGCUUUUCGUUGCCAGUUGGCAAAUUAUGUAACGUUUUCUUUUUCUGAGUUGAAAUCAAAAUCCCCACUAGAUGCAUUCACAUUGUUUUAAGGCAUAUUUAGGGAAGGGUUCACUCACAGUCCAUAAUAUCAGUAAUUAUAAAUACAUCACAGACGGUAUGGUAAAUCAGUGUGCAGGAAAUAAUGAUCAUGGCUGUGUGGCCGUGCUUUCCAUCAAAGACAAUGUCUUCAUGGAGCACAUGUGUGUGUCAGGCAUCAUCUGCUGUAGAUUAUUGUAGGAUGAGAAUGUCUGUGUGUUGAUCCGGCCCCCACCAUUUUGUCACCAUAUGUCACCCCUUAUUCCCUUUGUUGUGAUAUAAUCUGUGCAUGACCUACCACAUUUUUGAAAGUUUUCUUUCUUUCUGAAACAAAAUGAGAAUUUAUUGUAUUUCUUUCUCUAAUGGAACAACCCAUAAUUCAUUUAAAAAAAGACCUGCCACCAUAGACCAUAGACAAUGAAGCAUUGAGUUCUGUCUUUUGGUCAGCACCGUCUUGUUAUUUUUCCAACCAGAAUUGUCACGAGAGAGUGGAGCUAAGUUCAGCCGACCACUGAACACAUGUUUAAGCAAUCAAAAUGUUACAAUUAACUUUCAUGAACCAAAACACUAUGGAAAGAGUUGUAAUACGAAAACAUUGACUACUCUCAGACAACAACGUGGUAACGACCUGUCAAUUACAAGGUUGCCAGGCCCUAAAGCAAACCCUGCAUUUCUGUCUACUCUAAAUGGACCAUAGUUUACCGAAUGAGCAUAGUGCUGUAUUGAAAAACAUCUCCACUCCCUACCUCAGCCCCUUUCUCUGGCUCUCUCUAAGCCGGUUGGAGAUGCAUUCUUCAUUCCUAGAAUGCACACAGAAAUGUUCAACUCUCUGGCAUCAGCACUUCUUAAAAAGGGCUGUUGCCACCGCUGCUCCUUCAGCACACACCCCCCGCCACCCCAUAAAAAAAAGUCCUGGACAGAGAAAGAAUGAUGAGAGUGGAAGGAAGAAAAUCCGCUAAAUCCGCCAAACCCAGGAAUGUAUUUUCAUGAAAACAAGUUUGUUUGAAGGGAUUGGGAAAGUGAGGUGGGCAGUAUCAGAAGUGAUCAGACCCAAUAGCUCAAUGGCUGCAGUACUACAUGUAUUUGAGAAGCAGAGAAUGAGGAUGCAUUGCAUCUGCUGUAGGCACACAUAUACGCAUGGAGGCUUUUUUGGCUGCAAGACUUGCUAACGGGAGUUUAUCAGUUAAGGAGAAAGCUCCUAUCUUAAAUCCCUGUUUUGCUGCUUUUCGCUUGGAGGAGUAGUAUUUCUAUGUGUAUGUGAUAGGAUGUUUAUGUGUGAGUGCAUGUUUAUGUGUGUGUGUGUUGUUUCUGCCACUAAAGCCAUCAUCCCUCCAGUCCACACGUCUAGAUUUAUUUCUCCCUGGUCAGCCUCCAGGAGAGGUAAUUACCAACCACAGGAACACAGACCUUCCUAGAAGAAGCUUGGCGUAACACACUAACCUUCCACUGUCUUAAAUGUGACUGGCAAACGGGGACUAAAAACACAGAGCUACAUUAUCCCCCUCUACCCCCUUUACCGCUGCAAAAAUGUAUAGUGUACAUAUAAAUGUGUAACAUGGCCACAUUUUUUAUUCUUCACCUUGUCCAUCCUUUUCUCUUAAAACUGUUCUGGUCAAUAUUUGUUACUAUUAUUACUGUGAAAGACGUCGCCCGUAAGGGUGAUUCUUGACUCUAAAGUUACCCUCAGCUCUGUAAAGCACUUUAACGUCUUUAAGCUCAUUGUUAUCGUGUUACGGCUCGCAACUUUACUGUUUUUGUUCAGUUUCACUGCUCACAUCAACCUUGUUUCCGGCAGCAACAGGCAGCUGUUUUCAGUGAAAAAGCUCAAAUAAAUCUGCUGUAGCUGCCCAACACCAAAGAGCAUACUAGCAAACUUUAGCCCUAACUUCCCACUUUUUCAACUCAAGACGCGAGCUGAGAGGCUUAGUGAUGCAUCGCAGACACAUACCAGAUAUCUAGCAAGCCAAAUAUCUUGACCUGUCUGGGAGUCUGUCAGCCAAUAAGAGCUUAAGACACUGGUUGAGGGGAGACCUGGGGGCGGGGUCACCUGUAACGAUAGUAACUUUUCUGUACGCGUUGGAUUUGUAACACUGACCAAAUUUUUUGCUGCACCUAGGUAACAUGUGGAAACAGGCUAUUUUGUAAACAUGUGUGCCAACAACAACAUCAACAAAUUGUGGAUGCUGAAGCAGCACAGGCAGGAAGGACCCAAAUACAGAAUCAGAGAUGGGCUGAUACAAAGAAAAAUACUUUAAUCAAACAAAAAGCUUACAUGUCAAGGGUCCCAAAAAGCAAGGAGUAACAGCAGGCCGAUUACAGAUACAGAACUCCAUGCAGCAACGAAGACAAAGGAACUGGCCUGGUAUAUGUAAUCAUUGACUGAUUUGGGAAGUGACAACCAAGGUACAACAAAGCAGGAUUUAGGUUUAGCGAGGUAUUUUGAGGGUUAACCCUCAGUUUGCAGUCCUACGAUGGUGAUUCACUUCUUACCGGAGUAGAUUUCCAUGGUAACGUAUGCUGAAAACCUAACCUGCCCCCGAGCAGGUUACGUUCAAGAUAAGAGAUCAACUUGUAUAAAAACACCUCCUACUGGCCAAUCAAAGCUCUGUGCACAGAUUGUUAGAUAAUGUUAUACAUAAAUACGCACAAGGAGAUCUUACUAUAAUUUUGUGUAUUCCUUUAAAUUAAUGAGUUGUAUUGAUGACAAUAUCUUAGAUUUGUUGUAGCCUUAUUCUGUAACCCCUGAGGUGUGAAACAAACAAACAAUAAAUAAACUAUAUUAAUUCAAAGUGGGAUUUAGACUUUCAUAGGGCUGUAACAGAUAGGCGAAGCUUCAUUCAUAAUGUUGACAUUAACAUUUUAAAUAGAUUAGACUAGACUAAUUAGAUCCAUUAAUAGUAUGGUAGAACUAGAUUCCAGUGGUGGCUGCGUAAGAUCGUUUCCGACUGAUGUUUUUACAACAGCUCCAGUUGGCUGGAAAGUCCAAAAGUCACAAUUUUUAUUGAAAAUGAUAGAUGUAAUAAUUUCUUAAAUUAACAACCUACCAUUUCUUGGUAUUUAGCCUUUCAAAACCAACAUUUUCCCUAAGGAGAAAAAAACUGGUUUGUCUCCUGCAUGCAACACAUAUCCGUAUUAACGGGUGGACAGCAGUCUAACAACUGAUAAAUUACAUUAAAUUACAUUUUAUAAGUUCAAUAAUACUAAAUCUGAAUAAUUUCUCUCAUAAUAUUCAUGUCAAAUAUUUACUUAUGUGCGGAAGCUUGUUGAUCCGUGUGUUGCAGUUUUACAUGUCGGAGUUGUGCCUUACAGUCGCAUUGCCUUGCGUUACUUUGCUACCAGUGCUUUUAUGUAUGCUGUAGGUGAUUAUAAGAUAUGAAAGUGAGCCUUCUUACCACUUUGAAUUAUAUUCAUGUUGUUUUUUUAUUAGCUAACUGUUUCACACCACCAGAGUUAAAGCUGAAAGAUUAAGGCUAAAAUUGUC